rnacentral:rRNA from 1 species
GCUUUACUGUAGCUUGGAAUUGGAUUUGGGCUCUUCUUGCGCAGUAUAGGUGGGAGGCUAAGAAAAUAAGUUUGCGGAUUUAUUGGAGCCAUCAAUGAGAUACCACUCUAGAACAGCUAAAAUUCUAACUUUGAGCCGUUAGCCGGCCAAAGAACAGUUUCAGGUGGGCAGUUUGACUGGGGCGGUCGCCUCCUAAAAGGUAACGGAGGCGUGCAAAGGUUCCCUCAGGCUGGUCGGAAAUCAGUCGAAGAGUGUAAAGGCAUAAGGGAGCUUGACUGCAAGACCUACAAGUCGAGCAGAGACGAAAGUCGGCCUUAGUGAUCCGACAGUGCCGAGUGGAAGGGCUGUCGCUCAACGGAUAAAAGUUA